CCCUGAUGCAGCCAUGCCGCGUGUGUGAAGAAGGCCUUCGGGUUGUAAAGCACUUUCAGUUGUGAGGAAAGGUUGAUGGUUAAUACCCAUUAGCUGUGACGUUAGCAACAGAAGAAGGACCGGCUAACUCCGUGCCAGCAGCCGCGGUAAUACGGAGGGUCCGAGCGUUAAUCGGAAUUACUGGGCGUAAAGCGCACGCAGGCGGUUUGUUAAGCUAGAUGUGAAAGCCCCGGGCUCAACCUGGGAAUAGCAUUUAGAACUGGCAGGCUAGAGUCUUGGAGAGGGGAGUGGAAUUUCUGGUGUAGCGGUGAAAUGCGUAGAUAUCAGAAGGAACAUCAGUGGCGAAGGCGACUCCCUGGCCAAAGACUGACGCUCAUGUGCGAAAGUGUGGGUAGCGAACAGGAUUAGAUACCCUGGUAGUCCACACCGUAAACGCUGUCUACUAGCUGUUUGUGGAUUUAAUCCGUGAGUAGCGCAGCUAACGCGAUAAGUAGACCGCCUGGGGAGUACGGCCGCAAGGUUAAAACUCAAAUGAAUUGACGGGGGCCCGCACAAGCGGUGGAGCAUGUGGUUUAAUUCGAUGCAACGCGAAGAACCUUACCUACUCUUGACAUACUGGAAAUUUAGCAGAGAUGCUUUAGUGCCUUCGGGAAUCCAGAUACAGGUGCUGCAUGGCUGUCGUCAGCUCGUGUCGUGAGAUGUUGGGUUAAGUCCCGCAACGAGCGCAACCCUUGUCCUUAGUUGCCAGCCUUAA
rnacentral:rRNA from 1 species